CAGCAGCCGCGGUAAUACGGAGGGGGCUAGCGUUGUUCGGAAUUACUGGGCGUAAAGCGCACGUAGGCGGCUUGGUAAGUUAGAGGUGAAAGCCCGGAGCUCAACUCCGGAAUUGCCUUUAAGACUGCCGAGCUAGUAGGUGAGAGAGGUAAGUGGAAUUCCGAGUGUAGAGGUGAAAUUCGUAGAUAUUCGGAAGAACACCAGUGGCGAAGGCGGCUUACUGGCUCAUUCUAGACGCUGAGGUGCGAAAGCGUGGGGAGCAAACAGGAUUAGAUACCCCGGUAGUCCCUGUCUCUUAUAC
rnacentral:rRNA from 1 species